UACAGAGGGGGCGAGCGUUGUUCGGAAUUACUGGGCGUAAAGGGCUCGUAGGCGGCCAACUAAGUCGGACGUGAAAUCCCUCGGCUUAACCGGGGAACUGCAUCCGAUACUGGAGGCUUGAGUUUGGGAGAGGGAUGCGGAAUUCCAGGUGUAGCGGUGAAAUGCGUAGAUAUCUGGAGGAACACCGGUGGCGAAGGCGGCAUCCUGGACCAACACUGACGCUGAGGAGCGAAAGCCAGGGGAGCAAACGGG
rnacentral:rRNA from 1 species